GGUUUCCUAGUGUAAUGGUGAUCACAGCGGAUUCUGAUUCCGCUAAUCUGGGUUCGAUUCCCAGGGAGACCU
rnacentral:tRNA from 1 species